CACCAGCACGUCUUACAAUCCACAAGACAAUGCCCAGAUUUCUGUAGUGCAGAAGCAUAUUAACCUUUGUGUACUCUUGCCGGGUUUCGACAAAAGAUGUCUGUUAAGAACUGCAGGGCUCAUUGUAAUUGCUUGCCAUGUGGGUAAAUGAUCCGGAGCUGUGUGAAGAUAAGAAGAAAUUGCUAAAGGCAAAUCACCUGGGUUUUAUUAUGCUUGCCCUAAAAAUAAUUAGCAUGGCCUAUGAAAUCAUACUGUGAGGGGAUUUGUUUUAGCAGGAAACUGUAACCUAUAUAUUGUAGCUUGCUUUCUAGAGAGCUGAUCUUUGUAGUUGUGUUGAUGUGUCUUUUUCUUUAUUUUCUUUUUAACUACAGUGAGAGACAAAUGAAUGAGCUCGUAUUGCUCUGAAUAGCAACAAGGUGACUGGUUGCCAGCCUGUAAAAUCUGGUAUCGUCCCUGCUGGAGCCAAAGCUUGACCUUAAGAAAAUUCCUGCCAGUUUCUCCGAGGGAGCGUGUCCCUGUGCUGCUGCAGAAGCCUGUCUGCCACAGCCUGCCCCGGGUGUGGAUCAGUGCUGAACGAGGGGCUCUGCUGGGCUCCCUUCCCUGCUGGGCCAGUACCAGAGUCUGCAGCACGUCUGGGAACAAUCUGCAAACUCACUGACAGCAGGCUUGAGAACGGGUUAAGGAAAGGAAACUGAAUCCAUCAUCUCCUCUCCAAACCAAAGUCAAACCAUAUUGAUUUGGGCAUUGUUCAUUGUAUGUUUAAUUUGCAGUUGAACUGAAGCUAUUCUCAGCCUGCAGCAACCAGCAAGCAUGCUUGCCUCUUUUUUUAAGGAUACUUCUUCUCACUGGGGCUGUUUCCUAUGUAGUGAGCAUGAGAAUCUUUACCUGAGUUUUAAAAAAUCCAUUUAAUAUGGAAAGACACCCACUGCAGACAGCUUUUUCCUAGGAACCCUUCUGUAUUUGCUUUGUCCGGCCACUUUCUGAGUUUCCUUUUAAAGGUCAUGGAGAGCCAUAAAAUCCUUUUUCCCAUUAUUGCACAUCUUAAAACAAUAGAUUCCUUUCCCCAGUCAAUUGGACUGGGUUUAUUAGACGAAGAGGUGAAUUUCUGUAGCAAUUAGUCAUUACAACAUUAUUCACUCGAAAAAUAGAAAUAUACUCUAUAGUCUGGAUUGCAUUUAAAAUACAAAAAGCCUACUGAACAUGCAGAGGGGGGAAAAGCAAGCAGCAGCCUGUGAGGCAUGAACCCAGGCUGUUGUUUUACAUUUGACUUAUUCCAGGGUGACCUGAAGUAAUGCCUCUGCCUAGGUUUAGGGCAGGGGAACGUGCUGCCCUCUGCACGUCUUGUGGGGUAGCUGAGACUGCACCAAACACCUGAAAUGGCAUUUUAAGGUCAAAUCACCACCUUUCAGUCCUACAUAAUCAGGCCAGAAUCUCUCAAGGGGCCAGACUUCCCUGAAGGUCACUGAUGUGCAUGGGGAGGUAGCUCAGGAAGGAUCUUUGUAGUGAGAGCACCCCCUUUGCCCACGUGCUGCCCGAGGGAAGUUUCACAGACCCAUUAGGGACCAACAAACUGGAGUAAAACUUGAACUCAGUCUAGAUACAACUCCCUAGAUCGGGCUUAUCACUACAAUAAUAGCAAAAAAAUAAAAUAAAAUAAAACUCCUCUGAGCUUCUAACC
rnacentral:lncRNA from 1 species